UAUAGUUAAAAUGAAAAUGAAAAAGUUUUGCCUAAGAAGAGAACAAAACCAAAAUCGUAUUUUUCAAUAAGCCAAUAAGAUCAAAUUUGGAGCUAUUAAUAAUAUUAUUGAUAAUAAAUCCAAAAACCAUGCAUCAGAAAGCACGUUGAGUGAUUAUCUCGUGUCAGUAUGCAAGUGCCAGGGGCCACAGCACAUUAGAUUCUCUGCGUUUUCUUUUUACUUUACAGGUUAGUGUUAAACCAUGUACUAAAAACGUCCAAGGUUAUAUGUUUACGUUUUCUAGAUGGGAUGGAAACCCAAACAUGUGUUUAGCAAACUUUUAUUUGUUCGUACCCUCUUAAUCAGUUGCCUGCUAUUAACCCUUUAAUGCCUUUAGACUUCAGGUUAAGCAAAAGGACUAGAUGCUGAUGCUGAUGCUGACUCCCCUCUACGCCAUCGUACAUUUCUUGCCCAUAUUUUCUAUAAUCGAGACAAGACUAGUGAACUAUUAACUCCGUGACUAUGGUAUCCUUUGCAAGUGGAGAUGUAGUAUUCUAGACCCGUAAUUUUUAUUUAUUUUAUUUUUUGUUUUUGGUUUGCUUCGUUGGUUUGGUUCUUAACAGUAAGAGGGAUGGUUUAGACUUG
rnacentral:misc_RNA from 1 species